ensembl:snoRNA
GCAGACACACUCUGUUCUUUGCUGCAUACUCCAGCCUGGGACUUUUUCUGUCUGCUACAUAAACAUGCAGAAUGUAACACGACUAGCUUUGCUAAAAGUCUGAUGGUGUUGCAUUUUGCUACAUUUCA